rnacentral:rRNA from 1 species
CCUACGGGGGGCAGCAGUAGGGAAUCUUUCACAAUGGGCGAAAGCCUGAUGGAGCAACGCCGCGUGCAGGAUGAAGGCCUUCGGGUUGUAAACUGCUUUUAUAAGCGAGAAAUAUGAUGGUAACUUAUGAAUAAGGAUCGGCUAACUACGUGCCAGCAGCCGCGGUCAUACGUAGGAUCCGAGCAUUAUCCGGAGUGACUGGGUGUAAAGAGUUGCGUAGGUGGCAUAAUAAGUAGCUAGUGAAAUCUGGUGGCUCAACCAUUCAGACUAUUAGCUAAACUGUUAAGCUCGAGACCGUUAGGGGUAACUGGAAUUUCUAGUGUAGGAGUGAAAUCCGUAGAUAUUAGAAGGAAAACCAAUAGCGUAGGCAGGUUGCUGGGACGGUUCCGACACUAAGGCACGAAAGCGUAGGGAGCAAACGGGAUUAGAUACCCGGGUAGUC